UAAAAUAUAGCCAAAUGGUAAGGCAUUCGUUUUUGAUACGAAUAUGUAAAGGUUCGAUUCCUUUUAUUUUAU
rnacentral:tRNA from 1 species